AUUGAACGCUGGCGGCAGGCCUAACACAUGCAAGUCGAGCGGCAGCGGGAGGAAGCUUGCUUCCUCGCCGGCGAGCGGCGGACGGGUGAGUAAUGUCUGGGAAACUGCCCGAUGGAGGGGGAUAACUACUGGAAACGGUAGCUAAUACCGCAUAACGUCGCAAGACCAAAGUGGGGGACCUUAGGGCCUCACACCAUCGGAUGUGCCCAGAUGGGAUUAGCUAGUAGGUGGGGUAAUGGCUCACCUAGGCGACGAUCCCUAGCUGGUCUGAGAGGAUGACCAGCCACACUGGAACUGAGACACGGUCCAGACUCCUACGGGAGGCAGCAGUGGGGAAUAUUGCACAAUGGGCGCAAGCCUGAUGCAGCCAUGCCGCGUGUGUGAAGAAGGCCUUCGGGUUGUAAAGCACUUUCAGCGAGGAGGAAGGGUGGUGUCUUAAUACGGCAUCACAUUGACGUUACUCGCAGAAGAAGCACCGGCUAACUCCGUGCCAGCAGCCGCGGUAAUACGGAGGGUGCAAGCGUUAAUCGGAAUUACUGGGCGUAAAGCGCACGCAGGCGGUCUGUUAAGUCAGAUGUGAAAUCCCCGGGCUUAACCUGGGAACUGCAUUUGAAACUGGCAGGCUAGAGUCUCGUAGAGGGGGGUAGAAUUCCAGGUGUAGCGGUGAAAUGCGUAGAGAUCUGGAGGAAUACCGGUGGCGAAGGCGGCCCCCUGGACG
rnacentral:rRNA from 1 species